ensembl:piRNA 21ur-5168 ncRNA
UGACAAUCGUAAAUUAUUUUA